AAAUAAGAAGCAAUAUGUGCAUUUAGUUUCGACCUAAAAAAAUUGAUUAUAAAAUCCUUAUUUU
rnacentral:tRNA from 1 species